UCUGAUAUGGCAGAUAAGUGCAACGGACUUAAACCCCGUAUAUAAAGAUUCCAACCUUUUAUUAGAA
rnacentral:tRNA from 1 species